rnacentral:rRNA from 1 species
UUAAGCGACUAAGCGUACACGGUGGAUGCCCUGGCAGUCAGAGGCGAUGAAGGACGUGCUAAUCUGCGAUAAGCGUCGGUAAGGUGAUAUGAACCGUUAUAACCGGCGAUUUCCGAAUGGGGAAACCCAGUGUGAUUCGUCACACUAUCAUUAACUGAAUCCAUAGGUUAAUGAGGCGAACCGGGGGAACUGAAACAUCUAAGUACCCCGAGGAAAAGAAAUCAACCGAGAUUCCCCCAGUAGCGGCGAGCGAACGGGGAGCAGCCCAGAGCCUGAAUCAGUGUGUGUGUUAGUGGAAGCGUCUGGAAAGGCGCGCGAUACAGGGUGACAGCCCCGUACACAAAAAUGCACAUGCUGUGAGCUCGAUGAGUAGGGCGGGACACGUGGUAUCCUGUCUGAAUAUGGGGGGACCAUCCUCCAAGGCUAAAUACUCCUGACUGACCGAUAGUGAACCAGUACCGUGAGGGAAAGGCGAAAAGAACCCCGGCGAGGGGAGUGAAAAAGAACCUGAAACCGUGUACGUACAAGCAGUGGGAGCACAGAGCAAUCUGUGUGACUGCGUACCUUUUGUAUAAUGGGUCAGCGACUUAUAUUCUGUAGCAAGGUUAACCGAAUAGGGGAGCCGAAGGGAAACCGAGUCUUAACUGGGCGUUAAGUUGCAGGGUAUAGACCCGAAACCCGGUGAUCUAGCCAUGGGCAGGUUGAAGGUUGGGUAACACUAACUGGAGGACCGAACCGACUAAUGUUGAAAAAUUAGCGGAUGACUUGUGGCUGGGGGUGAAAGGCCAAUCAAACCGGGAGAUAGCUGGUUCUCCCCGAAAGCUAUUUAGGUAGCGCCUCGUGAAUUCAUCUCCGGGGGUAGAGCACUGUUUCGGCAAGGGGGUCAUCCCGACUUACCAACCCGAUGCAAACUGCGAAUACCGGAGAAUGUUAUCACGGGAGACACACGGCGGGUGCUAACGUCCGUCGUGAAGAGGGAAACAACCCAGACCGCCAGCUAAGGUCCCAAAGUCAUGGUUAAGUGGGAAACGAUGUGGGAAGGCCCAGACAGCCAGGAUGUUGGCUUAGAAGCAGCCAUCAUUUAAAGAAAGCGUAAUAGCUCACUGGUCGAGUCGGCCUGCGCGGAAGAUGUAACGGGGCUAAACCAUGCACCGAAGCUGCGGCAGCGACACUGUGUGUUGUUGGGUAGGGGAGCGUUCUGUAAGCCUGCGAAGGUGUGCUGUGAGGCAUGCUGGAGGUAUCAGAAGUGCGAAUGCUGACAUAAGUAACGAUAAAGCGGGUGAAAAGCCCGCUCGCCGGAAGACCAAGGGUUCCUGUCCAACGUUAAUCGGGGCAGGGUGAGUCGACCCCUAAGGCGAGGCCGAAAGGCGUAGUCGAUGGGAAACAGGUUAAUAUUCCUGUACUUGGUGUUACUGCGAAGGGGGGACGGAGAAGGCUAUGUUGGCCGGGCGACGGUUGUCCCGGUUUAAGCGUGUAGGCUGGUUUUCCAGGCAAAUCCGGAAAAUCAAGGCUGAGGCGUGAUGACGAGGCACUACGGUGCUGAAGCAACAAAUGCCCUGCUUCCAGGAAAAGCCUCUAAGCAUCAGGUAACAUCAAAUCGUACCCCAAACCGACACAGGUGGUCAGGUAGAGAAUACCAAGGCGCUUGAGAGAACUCGGGUGAAGGAACUAGGCAAAAUGGUGCCGUAACUUCGGGAGAAGGCACGCUGAUAUGUAGGUGAAGUCCCUCGCGGAUGGAGCUGAAAUCAGUCGAAGAUACCAGCUGGCUGCAACUGUUUAUUAAAAACACAGCACUGUGCAAACACGAAAGUGGACGUAUACGGUGUGACGCCUGCCCGGUGCCGGAAGGUUAAUUGAUGGGGUCAGCGCAAGCGAAGCUCUUGAUCGAAGCCCCGGUAAACGGCGGCCGUAACUAUAACGGUCCUAAGGUAGCGAAAUUCCUUGUCGGGUAAGUUCCGACCUGCACGAAUGGCGUAAUGAUGGCCAGGCUGUCUCCACCCGAGACUCAGUGAAAUUGAACUCGCUGUGAAGAUGCAGUGUACCCGCGGCAAGACGGAAAGACCCCGUGAACCUUUACUAUAGCUUGACACUGAACAUUGAGCCUUGAUGUGUAGGAUAGGUGGGAGGCUUUGAAGUGUGGACGCCAGUCUGCAUGGAGCCGGCCUUGAAAUACCACCCUUUAAUGUUUGAUGUUCUAACGUUGACCCGUGAUCCGGGUUGCGGACAGUGUCUGGUGGGUAGUUUGACUGGGGCGGUCUCCUCCUAAAGAGUAACGGAGGAGCACGAAGGUUGGCUAAUCCUGGUCGGACAUCAGGAGGUUAGUGCAAUGGCAUAAGCCAGCUUGACUGCGAGCGUGACGGCGCGAGCAGGUGCGAAAGCAGGUCAUAGUGAUCCGGUGGUUCUGAAUGGAAGGGCCAUCGCUCAACGGAUAAAAGGUACUCCGGGGAUAACAGGCUGAUACCGCCCAAGAGUUCAUAUCGACGGCGGUGUUUGGCACCUCGAUGUCGGCUCAUCACAUCCUGGGGCUGAAGUAGGUCCCAAGGGUAUGGCUGUUCGCCAUUUAAAGUGGUACGCGAGCUGGGUUUAGAACGUCGUGAGACAGUUCGGUCCCUAUCUGCCGUGGGCGCUGGAGAACUGAGGGGGGCUGCUCCUAGUACGAGAGGACCGGAGUGGACGCAUCACUGGUGUUCGGGUUGUCAUGCCAAUGGCACUGCCCGGUAGCUAAAUGCGGAAGAGAUAAGUGCUGAAAGCAUCUAAGCACGAAACUUGCCCCGAGAUGAGUUCUCCCUGACUCCUUGAGAGUCCUGAAGGAACGUUGAAGACGACGACGUUGAUAGGCCGGGUGUGUAAGCGCAGCGAUGCGUUGAGCUAACCGGUACUAAUGAACCGUGAGGCUUAACCU